rnacentral:rRNA from 1 species
ACGAACGCUGGCGGCAUGCCUAACACAUGCAAGUCGAACGAGACCUUCGGGUCUAGUGGCGCACGGGUGCGUAACGCGUGGGAACCUGCCCUUAGGUUCGGAAUAACUCCCCGAAAGGGGUGCUAAUACCGGAUAAUGUCUUCGGACCAAAGAUUUAUCGCCUUUGGAUGGGCCCGCGUUGGAUUAGCUAGUUGGUAGGGUAAAAGCCUACCAAGGCGACGAUCCAUAGCUGGUCUGAGAGGAUGAUCAGCCACACUGGGACUGAGACACGGCCCAGACUCCUACGGGAGGCAGCAGUGGGGAAUAUUGGACAAUGGGCGAAAGCCUGAUCCAGCAAUGCCGCGUGAGUGAUGAAGGCCUUAGGGUUGUAAAGCUCUUUUACCCGGGAUGAUAAUGACAUUACCGUGAGAAUAAGCUCCGGCUAACUCCGUG